rnacentral:lncRNA from 1 species
CCGCAUUGUUCUACCACCUCCAAGCUGCCCACCAACCAUGCUCUGAUGCAUUUGUAGUCUUUCAAAUGUGCACUUCUGCCUGGCGGCCUCCUCCUGGCUUCAGCCUUGAACCUCACCUUGAUUGCCACUUCCUUUGGGGAAACUCCUCUGAUGCUUUCCCUGGUGUAGGUAGCUCCCCCGCCUGAUGCCAUCACACCGUGGAACAGCCACAUUUCACUGUUAGGUCCUGGCCUCCCACAUCAGACUCUGAGCUCUACAAGGGCAGUGAGGAGUCAGUAGGUAGAAAAUUCCACGUGGACCAUCUACACAUGUUCUCCUGGAUGUUUGCCCCAUGACAGCCCAGAGGAGACAUCAUUUUUCAAUCAUCUCUGCACCUCAACUCUCUCUGUCCUUUCCUUCAGCAUCAGUGAUUUCCUGCCAACUCUGACCCAUCAUUCUUUUCCCCAGUCUCAAAAAACCUCCUGCCCACCUCCCCAAAUAUUUUAUACAUAAUCCUAUUGCAUGCAGCCUUGAUUCAGGAAUAUUCUAGAGGUGGCACCUGCAAUCAAAGCCUCCUCCUGCUCACUGUCAGUAGUUCAGCUUUCUGUUCUGAGAGCCCAGACUUCCAGGUACUAGUCCUGAAGAAAAUGAAUUCUUCGAAGCUCGCCUGCAGAUUUCUUUUCUUGAGCACUACCCCUUCAUCCCUGCUUCCACAUGUGAGAUCCCCAGGGCUGGGAUAAAGGUGAAGUGAGCAAGUCAUCUAGGACACAACAUUGAAGGGGACACCACUCUCACAGUUUUGCAAAUACCUUCAGCUCCUCACUUGCCUCACCCUGGUCCUGGCCUGGAUGAUCAUAGGUACCUCACCUGGGUUCAUGGUGCAAAGUGUGAACAUUCAGUAUGGUGAACUGAAGAAAAACAAAAAUCGAAUGAGAAAUCAAAAAAGCAGAAUUUUCAUUUUGACUUUAUUACUAACUCAACAUGAUAUCAAGAAAAACCUGUAGCCUGUCUGAGCCUCUGUUUCUUAUUGGUAAAUUAAUAAUAAUCUCUUUCUAUCUCAGUUACUUCCAAAGAAUGUGACAGGAAUAACAUAAAAUCUCAUACGGAGAGGUUAAGAGACUUGUCCGAAGUUGUAAAAUUCAGCCAUUGGAACUUUAGACAUAAUCUCUUCAGCCAGCGCUAGGUUUGCCAGUGACUCACUACUUAUUUAAUUAAUUAAACAAAUAGGCAUUAAGUGCCUACUGUGAUCAAAACUGUGGGAGGCAGCAAGUGUGGGGUGGGUGCAGAGAAAAAUUCAACAAACAAUAUGUUCUAGAGGAAACGAAAGUUGGGUGAAACUGCCAUCUAGAUCUUCCUGCCCCUACGCCCAGUGAUUCCUGUGACCCUAUUGCUUUCCUUGCCUGGCUCUGAGUCUUGCCAGAUGUCUGAACUUUGACUUACUU